UACAGAGGGUGCUAGCGUUGUUCGGAAUCAUUGGGCGUAAAGGGCGUGUAGGCGGUUUGUUAAGUCAUGUGUGAAAUCCCUCGGCUCAACCGGGGAACGACGCAUGAAACUGGCAAGCUAGAGUACCAAAGAGGGGGGUGGAAUUCCCGGUGUAGCGGUGAAAUGCGUAGAUAUCUGGAGGAACACCGGUGGCGAAGGCGGCAUCCUGGACCGAUACUGACGCUGAGGAGCGAAAGCCAGGGGAGCAAACGGG
rnacentral:rRNA from 1 species